CAGUAAGUGGGGCUGGGGAAGCAGGAGGGAAACCUGUCUAUCUGAUUAUUUAAUCGUGUGAUUAAUCUAAAUGCCCCAGUGAGAAAAUAUCCACCAGAUCACAAGGGUUUCCUACUUACUUUCUGACCUUCUAGCUUUGCUUUUUGUUUUUUUUUUUUAAAUAUAAACUAACCUCUAUGGUUAAAAGUAGAGCCCUCCACACAGCACACCCCGAAUCUGUAUGAGUCCCUCUCGCUCAGUUUGGACAGAAGACUUGGUCCAGCAGUUAGCAGAGAGGAUGCACAGGGUGUGGUCCUCAGGGUCCCAGCUCCACCAUGUACCAGCCUUAGGACCUUGGGACAGUUACUUCAUCUGUCUGUGCCUCAGUUUCCUCAUCUGUUAAAUGCAGGUCAUACUAGUUCCUACUCCUAGGAUUAUUAUGAGAGUUAAAGGUGUUAACGCUCGAGAACUUCCUGGAAUCGUGGCCAGCACUAUGUGUGACUGUGUGUUACUAAACAAGCGUGAACCCUAACUGCCGUCCAGCCACAGACGCCUACCGGCCACCCCUGCUGCGGGAGUGAAGUACAGGCUACCCUCGUACUGGUACAGCACGAGCAGAUUGCCCGUGGGCAGGGAACUUCUGAUGUCCAGAGGCCGGUCUAGCCAUCCAUUUGUUGCCAGAUCAGAGCCCCCGUGGUUGAUCUCAGGAAUCCAAGCUGGCUGUCACACACACGUGACCAUGGAGGUGACAGCGGGGGAGGGGGGACUGCCGGGGGAGGAGGGAAAGCCUGAGUCCCCGCAGGACUGUCCGGAAUGCGCUCUCCUCCCCCGUCUCAGCCCAGUCUCAGCCCAGGCAUAGUAGAGCCGCCUCCGCCUUCAACCUGCAGACACAGGACCUUGUUAAAUGCAGAUUCUGCUACAACAUGGAUGAGCCUUGAAGAGGUGAUGCUGGGUGUCACCAAAGGACAGACACUGUAUGAUUCCUCUCUCUGGGGUCCCUGAGUGGUCAAAUUCAUCAAGACAGAAGGUGAACGGCAUUUGCCAGGAACUGGGGAGGUGGAGAUGGGUAGUCAUUGUUUAAUGGGGCCAGAGUCAGUUUUGCAAGAUAAAACGGGCUCUGGAGAGGAUGGUGGUGACGGUUACACAGCAGUGUGAAAGUGCUUAAUAUCACUGAACUGUACUCUUAAAAAUGGCUAAGAGGGUAAAUUUAAUUUAAUUAAUUUUCUUUAGGCCGCGCGGUGCGGCUUGAGGGACCUUAGUUCCCCAACCAGGGACUGAACCCACGCCCCCUUGCAGUGGAAGCCCCGAGUCCUAACCACUGGACCACCAGGGAAGUCCCCAGAAGUUAUCACCGUGGACGCUCACAUCCAGGCUGCUGGGCCCAGGCUCAGAGAGGUGGUCCUCCCCAGGAUCUUUGCAAUGAAGCCCCAUGCUGACCACUUGAGAGGGAGGCUUCUGGCUUCUGGGGAAGGACGUACUUGGCUGCUCAGAGGGCUAGGGCUUCCCCAGUUUGGAGUGAUGGGUGAGAAGUAGAGAGGGAGCUCUGGAUCUGGGGCCUGAUGAGACUUGACCGUGCUUGAAGGGAAGGGCGAGGGGUUGGGGGGAGGGCGGGCAAGGCCCUUUUCCCCUCCUCUCCAGCUCCGGUUGUGGAUAGAAUCUCAGCCCAUAACUCUGGUAGAAAAUAAACACAACUUAAUUUGUAAAACACUCUCUGAUUUCUGAUGUAAGUUCCCAUUCUCCCUAGAGUGGAGGAAGCAGAACCUAUAUCAGUUUUUGCCUUUCCUGGGGGCCAUAGGCAGCCUGCAGUGCCAGGCAUUGGUGGCGGGGGAGGGCGGCUCUCAGGGGCCUCGGUCAUCACUCACUCAGGUCACCCCAAGAGCACGUAACUGUACCCCGCUGGCCUGGGUCCUGUUCUGGGCGGGGCCUGGACCCGCUGUGUCUGUGCCUUCUCAGGGGACAGAAAUCUCAGAGACAGGCUAGGGCAGCCACCUCUGAGAGUCUCACCGCCUUUGUGGGCUCCAGGGGAAGCAGGUGUCGCCGCUCUUGGGUUCCACAAACCUCUUUUGGGUUUUGCUGCCCAUCUAGGGUCCCGCUGGGAAGCAGGGCAUGUAGCUUCUCAGUCCAGCCUCACCCAGGUCUCUCCUCUUUCCAGCUCCAGGAAUCCCCUUCCCUCAAGUAUCAGUUCUAACAUUUUGCUCCUGCAAAGUGCAAGCGUGUGGUUGGCUGAUGGAGUAUAAGUGGGGGAACAGACCUUUGCUUCCACUGUCCAGACACAGCCCUCCCCUGGGGCAAGGAGCUCCCAGCUGUGGGAUAGGUGGGGGGAAGCUAGGACAAAGGAAUGGGUAAAGGUGACCAUCUCAGAAAGGUUAAUCUACUCCCACAGUGUUGAAUAUCACUCGUCUGAUUCCUCUCUGCUGCAAGGGCUGGGCACCCAGGAAGCUGGGAAGGCGUCUUUACCUUUGCAUCUAUCUUUGGUGAAUUUCAGGACAAAGUAAACCAGACCCACUAGGGUCUGGUACCUUAUAUGGGAAAUCCUGAAUCCCAGAGAGGUCCCUACUGUACCCCGAUGCCUGAGGGGACAGGAGGGGAGGUCUGACAGCUCUGGGAGGUCUGGGGUGGAGGGAGGGAGCAGAGGGCCGGGCGCCCGCCACAGGUAGGGAGCAUCCCAGAUCUGCGUCUAAUAAGCGCUCCCUACCAAUUUUUUAUGAGCUUGGUGACAGGUUUAUUAUACCGAGGAUAGGAAAUUUCAGUGGGACACGAGCUCUCCCGAGGAGAGGUCCCGGAGUCGUCCACUGAAAACCAAGCGAGUGAAUGAAUGAAAAUGUGCUCGAAUUCCAGUCCUUAAAGACCUGUCAGCUGCGCCAGCGUUCAUUCGUAUUCAUUAGGUAGCUUGGUCGGCAGAAUCCCAGAAGUUCUGUACGUCUACUUAAAUAUAAACCACACUGAGACAAAAUCAACCCCAAAUUAAAAGUGAACGACUAAAUAGAACCCAGAUAGCAAGUAUCUUUGCUUUUGGCUGGGAAGACAGCCAAAGUGAUAUGUGUUUGGGUUAAUUUUUUUACAGGGAAAACAGAUUAAUUAUGUAGUAAAUAUAGUUUGCUAGGCAAGAGCUCUCAAAACGUGGGAGAAAAAGGAUUCAAGCAAAGUCUAUUUAUUAUUUAACAGUCGUUUACAUUAGCACAAGGGCAAAUAUUUGCCUUUUUAUGUUGGUCUUAAAUGUAUUGAUAUAUUUGAAUAACGAUUGGGCUGACCAUUAAUCAGUAUUAACAUCCAAGGCUUACUCGAAGCUGAAAUUAACUGAAGUCACUAAACUCUGACACAAUCAGAAGCCUGAGCCUUGUCAAAAUUAUUGAAAGGUUUAGGGUUUGCAGGAUUGGUAGGGCUUUCUGGUCUUGUGUUUGUUCUCAGGCUCUGAACUUGCUGAGCGGGUAGCACUGCUCAGUGACCCCACUGUUUGGUUUUUGCCUUUGGUGUUUCAGACAUAUUUAAGGAGAGCAAACUUCCGGGCUCAGGCUGCUUCCCUGAGUUCUCCUGAGAUACCCCUUCAAAGUUUAUUCUCUGGGAGCAGAAUAGAGAGUACCUAUUGGGGGCUGGCACACUUUUAUAUCAAGAUCCCUUUUCCCUGGGACCCGCCAAGGAGGGUGGCUGCCCGUGAAAGAGGGGAGGGAUGAGCCACAGGGCCUUUGCAUCUGCUGCUGUUCCUGCGCUCACAGUACAGAACUGGGGACAGGGUCCCCUUGCUCCUGAGCCUUCCAUCCCCAUCUCCCUCCAGCGAAGCUUCCUCAGAACACCGGUCCUGUAAGAUGUUGACACAUGCCGCUCCCCGCCCCCCAAAAGGGGUUCUGUGAUUGAAGGGUGCCUGACACCAGUUGAAACAACUGCUUUUUUCUCCUGCAAGAAUUCUCAGAACCUUUAAUAUAUUAAUUUACAUUGAGAAUCUCUAAGAGGAAAAGAGGUAACCUUUAAAAUGUUAGAAAAUUCCAUGAUUUUGUGCACACGUAGCACGUGUCUUCCCUGGAAAGAGUCUAUAGCUGUGCUGGUAAGAAGUGGUUCAUGACGUGACACCCGAUUUGUUUCACAGGUUGAGGAGCCCAUUCUAUGGGCUCCAGUUUUCAUGAAAUACUUGAGUUCCUUGCAGACAGCCGGUGGUAUGAGAAGCAAGAAAAGGGGAGGGACCUGGUACCCACUUUUAAAAAAUAGCUCUUGUUUUAAUUUUUUACAAUAAACAUUAAUUUAUUUACAAUAAACAUUAUUAUAUAAUUAAAAACAUAUUUUAACCUAUGAGAUACACAUUAAUAUUCAUUUUAUUUUAUUUUUUCUGGUGUCACAUUGUUGUUCUUUUUCCUACUGCCCACUUUUAAGUGAUCGUCGUCUUGACCCCCCUCUCUGCCUGUCGCCUGCUAUUUCCAGUGAAUCCUACUUGUAACGUGGGGGCUGGAGAGCUGGCCUGUGAAUAAGUCAGGGCAGGAGGUUGAAGGAAGCACUCACUCUGGGAGCCGUCAGAGGCUGAGCCUGCAAUUAUCCGAAACCAAGAGGGAGUCCCUCCCGGAGUCCUGCCCCCUCAGCCCCUCACCCUCCUCCAACGAUGGGAGUUGUGUCCGCUGGAACUGAGUCCCCAGGGACUGGGCAAUCAAACAGACUCCGGUGAACAAAGAAAAAUCAGGCCAUCGGCCCAAUUCCCUGGGACACAGGGACCUAAAGUGAUCAUGAUGGUUGGAGGUCCCCAAGAGAACAGGCUGGUCUGGGGACAGAAGAAGAAGGUGACAUCGUUUUAAGAAGCGUCCUCCUCUUAGCUCAGAAAACUCAUUAGCUGAAAGGGGAUGGGAGAAUUAGUACCUGAGUCAUCGUGUUUCCCAAGGCACACAAAUCAGCUCCUGGAAGAGACACAGGGUCUAAUGAAAUUAUUUUUAUGGCUUUACCGUGGGGAGUCUCCUCCGCUGCUUAGAUGAUUCAGAAGUGGGCACUGUGUAUAGAUUUUAUUAGAUAACCUCCAAGGCUUAGUUUUAUAAACUGGAAUUUAGCACUCUGCAUUCGCAAAGCAAUUAAUAGUGCCUGUGUUAGUUAAUAUCCCAUUUUAGGUUCAAGAGCAAUAUUUUGUUACUUAAAAAUUAAUAGCAAUGUCACAAAGGGCUUAUAAAAAGAGAUGGAUGACUCCAAUAGGGCAGUACCAUAUAAUGCUAUGUUUUUAUUUGCCAUUACUUUAAUUACUGAGAUAUUAUUUUAUAUGUUUUCAUUAUUUUAAAGUGCCUUGGGAGUGUGAAAGAUGUCUUACAGAUGUGUUCCAUUUUAGCCAGAGCAGCCUAAUCAUAAGUAGCUGUAGAUUAAUGCAUUUAUCACUUAAAAUUUCUUUUUAAUGUUCUGUAAGCAAGUGAAAUUGAUGUCUCCAAGAAGACAGAUACCUCUCAUACCAUGGAAUUCCUCCUCUGAGAAUAUCUCUUCGUUAGAUUAUGAAUAGCCCUCGGAAAGGAAAAAAAAAAAACAGCAAACAAUCAGUAGAAAGAGCUGUACAGGAGCAUGACAAACACUAGUUAAGAGCCAGUGCUGAGAAAAUAGCACACAUCCUUUGGAUACUGAAUAUCUAUUCUAAACUAAAGUGGGUCUUAAAAUUCCACGUGUACAGUUUCUUCUCCAUUUCCUCCUAGGUGGGCUGGGGUGACUGUUCUGCAAACGUGGCCGUGUGGUUUUCCCUCAGCAGGCAAACUCUGGGGAGAAAUGUGACUCAGGGUCAUGAUUCCUCCAAGACGGUUUUUAAAAAUAACCUAUAGCCACUAUUUUUAGCAAACCUGCCAGGCCGCAGGGCUGCCGGCUGCCUCUUUCACAGAAAGUAAUUAACGAUCUCUAAUCCCUCAGGUGAGGGAGAUACUGAAGUUCCCGAUGUGGAAACAAAAAAUAGGCUGUCUUUACAGGUGGACACGACUCUUGAGACAAAGCCGGCCACCCUCCUGCCCUUGCGCACCCUGGGAGAGGCAGCUCGCUCCAAAAGGAUCAGAUCCAUCGGAGAAAAGCAAAUAGUUUUAAACUUCUAAGAGGUGUUAUAAAUAAGGGGGAUCUGAAGCAAAACGUUCAAAAGCAGCUGCAUCCUCUCUUUUCAGACAAGAGCUUCCCCCUGACUCGAGCUCAUUUGUUAUUCAAUUUCACUUCCCAGUCCUGCUAAAGGUUUGAAAGCUCUUGGCAGGUUUCCGUGGAAUCAUUUAAGCAGUCUAAUAGAAAGAGCAGAAGGGCAAAUUUUACAAAUUCAUUCUAAGUCAAACGCUCUUAUUUUACAAAAGAAGAGAAUCUGUGAUUUGAGAAGAGAGAAUUCAGGCCAGUGGGACUAGGCUAUGCAGGAUGCCCUUCCAAUGGACAGACUGUUGGUCCAGUUGACAAACGUCAGGGUUUGUGGCUCUGGCCAGACCCUGAUUUCACACCUCUAUCAACCGAGUCAUCCUCUUGACUGUGGUGGACCUGUCUCUGUGCACUUACCAAUUUUCAGUGAACUUCCUUAAGCUGUUACAGAGGCUACCCUUUUGGAAACGUUCAAUGGCUUGACACUUUCUUUGAAGAUGAUCGUAGGUUACUAGUUGUGGCACAUGCUUUAGGGGUUCAAAAUGGGACUCCUGAUGAAUACUUGUUUUUCUUAACAUUACAUUUUUUUUUUUUUUUUCUGGUACGUGGGCCUCUCAGUGUUGUGGCCUCUCCCGUUGCGGAGCACACGCUCCGGACGCGCAGGCUCAGUGGCCAUGGCUCACGGACCUAAACCCUCCGCGGCAUGUGGGAUCUUCCCGGACCGGGGCACGAACCCGUGUCCCCUGCAUCGGCAGGCGGACUCUCAACCACUGUGCUACCAGGGAAGCCCUUCACAUUGCAUUUGACCAGAUUCUUUCCCAUUAUGGGUUAUUCCAAGGUAUGGAAUACAGCUCCCUGUGCUAUAAGGUAGCACGUAAACCCCGUGAGAAGAGAGACCCGGCUCUUUUAAUUACCUGUAUCCCUCGUGUUUUCAGCGCCAAGCACUGGAGACUUUGUUGAAUGAAUGUGUGCAUCCACUCACCCGUUCCAUCGUCUUAAUGUGUCACUUAUAAAACACCCUUCAGGGCUCCCCUCGUGGUGCAGUGGUUAAGAAUCCAUCUGCCAAUGCAGGGGACACAGGUUCAAGCCCUGGUCCGGGAAGACUCCACAUGCCGCAGAGCAACUAAGCCAGUGUGCCACAACUACUGAGCCUGCGCUCUACAGCCUGUGAGCCACAACUACUGAGCCCGUGCGCCACAACUACUGAAGCCCGCGCACCUCGAGCCCAUGCUCCACAACAGAAGAAGCCACAGCAAUGAGCCUGCCCUGUGCUAUACACUCACGUCCAUUAGGAAAGGAGGAGCAGUAACAAGUUACAUACUGCAAAGAAGCGUUACACGUUCAAUGACAGUUGCCUAAGAGAAGGCUGGAGAUGUCAUUUCGUCUGUGCUGUCUUCCUUUUCUCAGCUUGCAGGCCGCAGGAGAGCUCAGCGCCCGACUUGCGAAGUUUGACUCUGACACGCUGGCUCAGGCAUUCGGUCCGUGAGGAAGUGACAUGUGAUACCGUGUCAGCUUCCAAAACUUCCACCUGGCCUUGAUCGCCUGGGGUCUCCAGACACUUGUGUGUGUUGAUCUCGGAUGCAGAACUGCUGCCGGCCUCGGAGGCAUCUCGGGGGCUAUGGAGACAGGAACAUUCCCAUCGAUGAGGAUGCCAGGAAGCAGGCGGUGGUGGGCUUAGGGUUCAAGCUUCGGGGACUGAUGCAGUUCUGAUGCAGGAUUCCAGGCCUGUCUUUAUCAAGCCUCUGCCCGGCCUCGUUCUCACCCAGGCACUUAGUGAUUCACUGGCUUAUUCUGCAAAUACUCACCAAGGGGCUGCUGUGUUGCAGGCACUGUUCAGGCCCGGGAGACAGAGGUGGGGAAGCAGAGUCCCUGCCCUCACAGAGCUUCCCAGGACCUGGGACUCUGCAGCAAAAACUGGGCAAAUCCUGGGCAAACGGGGACCAGUUGGUCACGCCACGUGGGGGACAAGCCAUCAGCGAGCACACAAAUAAAUAUGGUAAGUUCAGACAGUGAUACAGGCCAAGGAAUAAGGCGGGUGAUGUGCUACCAGUGGAGGGUAGGAGGAAGCUUCUGUUGACAGCUGGGCACGGCGGGGAGGAAUGUCGCAGGCCGAGGGAGCCAGGACACAGCCGGCAAGGCAGAAGUCAGGAGAGAAAGGCUUGAGGCUGGAGUGGAUGGAGAGGAAGCAGGUGGCAUCAGGGAGGCACGGAAGGAGCUGGGAUUCUGCGACAACACGAAUCCGGCCAAUCAGCAGUGACCGAGGCCGGGGCCGCCUUCACGGGCUUUACCUGUGUUGACUCGCUUCAUCCUCACAAAAAGGUAGGCUCGUGUCAUUAUCCUGCCCACGUGAUGGAGGAAGAAACCCAGGUACAGGAGGCGUGAGGACGUAGCCCAGGCUGAUGCUAAAGAGGCCGCCCCCCACCCCACUACCACCCGGCGUUUGGACCAAACCCCCCCUGGCGCCUCCCUGUGUGACCUGCCCAGUCCAGACCCGUCGCACCCCAGGGCCUCCCGGCUGUGUUAAAAGUCACAGAUUGUCUGUGAGCUGCGCCUCUCUAAUAUUUUCACAAUGGGUUUCAAAUGAAGAAACCAAGGAGGCGAAACGAUGAUGGCGUAUCGCCUUUUUAACUUCCACCCUGCUUCUUUAUAACCACCCUCAAUGUGUUAUUUUUGCCCCUCCUUGAAUGUAGAAAACAACAUAGCCAUCCAAGUGCAGAGACUGUCAUACCGGCAACAAAAUUACUUUAUCAGCUGUGGUUAACAAUAGGGUUUUCUUUCCUCUACCAUUUCUGAUAAAAUGUUUGCACAGCAUUAUAUGGGGAAACACAGAGCUACCGCAACAAUACACGAACAAGGAUAAUUUGUGUGUUGGCAUUUCCACGAUAGAAUGUCAAGUAUUUCAUACCCCAGUGAUACUGAGCCUUUCUAAGCCGACUGCUUUGAAAAAAAAAAUGCUUCAUGUUCAUUUCAUUAUUAAUCUUAAGCUGUACAUAUACAUUACAGACACUCUUUUUGUAUGGUAUGUUUCUCAAACAAUAUUUGAAAGUCUGAAUAAAAAUAAAUAGGCGUUUAGAAUGAUUGCAUUGAAAUACGCAUUGAAAAUGCUACUGUGUCAGGCAAACUAACGCAGUUGCUACUGAUGGAGAACCUUUUUUUCUAAGACCACCCUGCCCUUAUUUCAUGUAAUGCCCCAUCCUUUUCAGGAUUCCCUGCAAUGAUCACUUUGAAAGGGACUUUGUCGCUUUUGUAGGACAUGAUGAUUAAUCAAUGUGGACUCAUUUCUCUCAUUAUUCUUACAGUUCUGCUUCAGACAGACACUUUCCAGGUGGUAGAUAAGGAUAAUCAGAUCCCAAAUUUAACGAGAAAUCAUCACAUCUUAAGAUUACUUACAAAUCAUGUAUUGUAAAAUGAGUUGAAAAGUAAUCUGUAUGCAUCAUUUGAAUUUUAGGGAUUCCUUUAUUCUUAAGAAAUCGCUUUUAUAUUAAACCAUAGUAGACAGUUGAGACAGAAAAGUAUCAAAAGGAAAAAAAAAAGGUAGGAGAGACCUGUAGGUAACUCUGGUUUUGCAUUUCAAAAAGAACCCUCAAAAGCAGAAGGGACCAGCCCUCAAGUCCCCCUGUGGUGUGUAGGAUCCUGGUGAAGACCUUGUAUGGUCCGUGCAGAUGUUUGAUCUCAGGUUCACAUCUGGUCCACAAGGGACGUGAUGGAGGUUCAUGCAGCCUCCAGAGGGAGAGAGUUUUGGAGACUGAGGUGACGUAUCUUUGGACUUGCCAACAAGAUCAGGCAGUUUCGAGCAUGAAUACAGACUAAACGAAUGUUUUAGUUUUUUCAUGUCAAAGACAAGAAGACGGCUUCCCUGGUGGCGCAGUGGUUGA